UCAGAUUCUCCAGCAUCUGCAGUUCCUACUAUCUCUUGUAUUUAUUUCUGUUUUUGACUACAUUAAUUGUGAGACUAGGAUAGUCAAUGAUUAAAGUUACAAAAUCAGAAAUUGCUUGCGAAACUCAGCAGAUCUCACAACAUGUGUGAUUCUUCUUCAGAACUGCAGCAAUUUCUGUUUUUUCUGUUUCAAAUCUCCAGCAUCCACAGUUCUUUGUUUGAUUACACUCAUUAAAAUUGUCUGAUUAUGAACACGUUUAUGGAUUGUUAAGGUUUACAAGAUAAAAGAUAUGGAGUGAGAAAGAUUACCUUUAUUCUGAGUUACCAAGUUUUCCUUUUAUGAAAUAAGCUUCAUAUUUCACCUUGUCCUUUUUUUCUUUACAUUCUUUUAUAACCUGAUAUUCUUCAAAUAACAGCCUUUGAAGGUGGAUGCUAUUUGUGCCUCUAAGAUCUUGUGAAGUGAGAUAAAAGGCCCUGAAAUUAUGUCAUUGAAUUCUAAUGUGUGAAUAUUUAAACAGUUGUUUUGAAAUUACUGUCUCCACUAUGUUAAUUAUGGUAUUAUUUUAAAUUAAUUAACAACUUUUGCAUUGACACAUUUCAAACAAAUGUAUUAAGUGUAUUUGUGUGAUUGUAUGCCAUGGCCCCCUUUCAGUGUCUAAUUACAAAACCUUGCAAAGUGCAGUCUGUAGCCACCAGUGAUAGCAGAGUCAUAGUUUAAGGUCAGAAGAAAUUGGCUCAUGUAAUUUUCAUCCAUUUGAGGUAGUAAGACAGUGGAGCAGAAAUUCCCAGGUGUCUUUUCAUGAUGUGUAUUGAGUUAAAAGAUCUUAGCCGGUUAAAUAGACAAGUAGUUUCUACACUGGAAGAAUCUAAUCCAUCAGAUUUCUAGCCCUGAUCACUGUGCAGAAACUCCUGCUAAAAGUGCACAUUUGUGGAAAUGAAAUACUGAGAAAGUCAGGAUUAGCUGUGUUUUUUUUUACUUAAUCAUGAAUAUUCCCUUUUAAUAGUCUGGCUAGUACAUGAAUAAUGGAUAUUUGAAUGGGUGUCCUACAGUAUGCCUGGCUUUUGCAGAACCUUGCCUCAAUUGAUCUGACAUCCAAUAGUCAGGAGUGAACGGACAAUUUUUUUUCAUAGAUAAGAAAACAUUAACUUUUCAUCCUUUGUCCUCCCCUGAAUAGGUAGAGACUUGUUGGAAUUUGGUUUUAAGAAUAUGAGCAGAUGUUACCAAAGCAGUAAUUUUUCAGAUGCUGCUAGACCCGUUGUGUAUUUCCUAACGUCUGAAGUAUAUUGCUUUUUGUGAAUUUGACUUUGAAGAGUGUCACAUUGGGCACACGCCUGGCUUGAAACCCUUUUCUCUCUUUGGCUUGGAGGUGCGAAACCAAAUAAUAAUAAUGAUUGAUGUGAAUGUUCAGGGUAGACACUCUUAACAGUAUUCUAAGAAUCAAAAUUGGGAUUUCUGAUCUCAGUGACUUAGUACUACAUGAAUCAUUAUGUUUAGCCAUUAAUCUACCAGGGAAUGAGAAUUUUCUAAAAAAAAAUGUAAUGGAGAAAAAAAUACUUUAAGUGAUUGCUUUUUAUUAAACAGGACAUUGGAAUAGAGAGAAAUAGAGGCCUGGGUUAAAUCACUCCCAGGCUUCAGACCCUGGUAACAAUGUUCUGAGAAAACAUCCAGCAGAACUCGGGUGUUUUUCCACUGGAAUCAGCUUCAGUUAACAUCGGAACACUCCAAGAUUUAACUCGGAUCUGCAUUCGGCGGACUCUUAAAAAUACAAUAAAUCAGGACAAGUCAAAUGGUGGUGUUCCUCCAAAGGCUGUUUCCAGAUUUAAAAGAAGACGGAUUCGAAGGCGACGGAUGGAUGCAAUUGUCCUUGUUGACAAGCAGGUUUUUGCAAAUCGAAUUUCAAAUCCUUUUGAUAACAACAAUAAUAAUGGUGAGGACAUGGAGGAUGUUAGGAGAGACGAUGAUGAAAAGGAAUACAACGACUUUAAACCUGAUCCUCCAUUAAAUCUGCUUCGAGAAAAAAUUCUCAGUUUGCCUUUACCCGAGCCAUUAAAAUUAUACCUGUUGUAUUACAGAGAUAAAUAAGUCUUGGAAAUGACUGCUAGUAAUAACUGUAAUAUAUUGCACAUAAGCUAAAGUUUGAAAAAUAUAGGGGACAUAUACUGCAAUGAAAAAAACGUGAGCACUUUUACAGACUUGGUGGAUUAGCAAUUUCCUUUUAAUAGUUUAUUACUAACUAGACUGGUUUCUCCCAUUUUAAAAAUGCUCUAGCAUUAUCCCUGUAAAGUAUUUUCAAAACUUUAUGCUUGGCUCUGCUGUACAUUACUGCAUCAUUUAUGGCAAGCACUUCUUUAAGAAACAAUAUACGAGAUGAUUAGAAAAAUGUAAAGUUACUAUCCCUGUAAAACUGUUUUCAGUGGCUUGUAUCUCGUCUGUAUAAUGACAUAUUGUAAUUUGUAAUAACUUAGUUCAAUAUUUAAUACUGUUUAGUUUAAAGAUGGUAAAUUUUAAGCACAGUUCUGUGCGUUAUAUGCCAAAAUUGUUUUUUUUUGUAAAGCAAUUGUUAAGAUGUAACUUUAGAGAUUCUUUUCAGAUUAGCUUCUUAAUUUAAAAGUUUUUAAAAACAACAUUAGUUACUGCUCUGAUAUUUUCAUAUUUUUGCAGAUUGCUUAGUAGAUGAACAGAUGUAAGCAAGUACUUGUUUAGACAUUUCUCUGCAAUAAAUAAAACAAUAAAAGUUGAUACAUAGACAA